GGGUGUGUAGUAUAGUUGGAAGAACAUCGGGCUUCUAACCCGAAGGUCGGGGGUUCAAGUCCCUCCAUGCCCU
rnacentral:tRNA from 1 species